rnacentral:lncRNA from 1 species
UUGGAUUGAAUUCUAUAAAUUUAUUUUUUGAAUUGGAUAUUGAAAGUUAUUUUGCCUUACAAAAUUUAAUGGGAUUUUGGCAAAUAAAAUCACGAACUAUUUCGAAUUUACAAUUUUAACGUGACUUCUGAGUGUUGAAUUGGAACUUACGUGGAUUAGUAAAAAGACGACGUCGUUUUUGUGAGGCCUAAACGACGUCGGUUUUGUGAGGCCUAAACGACGUCGUUUCCUACAAUUUCAAUUAAAAAAAUCUUCAAAUUAUAGAACUGUAUCCUAUAUUUGCAACAUAAUUUUCAAUAUUUAGUAAUUUUAUUGCAAAAUACAUCGUAACAUGAAUAUUACAUGGAGAACUAAUCGAUAUAAACUCCAAGUUAACAAUCCGAUGAUCGAAAAAAAUUGGGGGGACGAAAUUGUCAAAAUUGAAAAGAUAGUGAUUUACUUCGCCACAUUUCAAAAGUUACGUUAAAAUUGUUAAUUCGAAAUAGUUCAUGAUUUUAUUUGCCAAAACCCCAAAUUUUAUCCAUUUUAAUUUUUUAAAGUGUAUUUUUUUAAAUUUAAAUGGUAUUAUAAUCGUGUUAAUAUUUAUUUUAAUUUAUUUUUAUUUUUUAAUUUAAUUAUUAAUUUUAUUUUAUAAAAACAUUUGGACCCCCC